CCAGUGAGGCUGUGAAUGGCCCCUCCAUGGAAGCAUUCAAGGCCAGGCUGGAUGGGGCUUUGAGCAACCUGAUCUAGAGGGAGGUGUCCCUGCCUAUAGCAGGGGGUGGAACUAGAUGAUCACAAGGGUCUGGAUUUUGUGUUCUUGUGCAGGGAAUUUUGGAGACAUGAUUUAUCACCACCAUAGCUAACACUGCGUGGGCAAUUUUGACAUGCUUUGACUUGCCAGUGCUUUCCGUUGUCUCCACUUACCUGGAACCUCCUUGAAAUGUAUGCCUGAUGUGGAGAUCUUUUCUUAUUUCCUAGCUUUUGUGGCAUAAAGAAGGGUGGAAAGGGGAUGGAACAGCUUGUUCUAGAUGCCAUCUCCAAGCAAUUGGAAGAGAAAAAGGUCAUCAGAAAUAGUCAGCAUGGAUUCACCAAGGGAAAAUAGUGCUCAACUAAGCUCGUAGCCUUCUAUGGUGGCAUCACUAGCUGGAUGGAUGGGGGGAGAGCAGUGGAAGUUGUCUACCUUGACUUCAGCAAGGCUUUUGACGCUGUCUCCCGUGACAUCCUGAUAAUGAAGCUGAGAAAGUGUGAGAUAGAUGAGUGGACAGUGAGGUGGGUUGAGAACUGGCUGACUGUCCGAGCUCAGAGGGUGGUGAUCGGUGGUGUAGAGUCGGUUGGAGACCUGUGACUAGGUCUCCUAGGUGUUCCCUAGGGGGCGGUGCUGGGUCCGGUCUUGUUCAAUAUAUUUAUCGAUGACCUUGAUGAGGGAAUAGUGUCCACCCUCAGCUGGUACACCGAUGAUACAAAGCUGGGAGGAGUGGCUGACACACCAGAAGGCUGUGCUGCCAUUCAGCAAGAUGCAUACUGUGCACAGCCACCACAUAGCAUCUGCCCUGUUCUCCCUCUGCACAAAGGAGGAGCAGCUCAGCAAGCUUGGCCUGGGCCAUCCAAGGGGAUGUCCAAACAUCUGGAUUGUUUUCUGCUGUUUGUCUCACAUCCUUCUUGAGAGAAAGCAGGAGGAGACAGAGGUCAGAUUUGAUCCUGUUGUGUGUGAUGCUGAAGGCCAAGGGGCAGAAUUUGGUGCUUAGGCAGGGGAGAGGCUAGGCAAGCUGAGCAUUGUAGAGGAACGAGAUUAAAAUAGAGCUCAUUCUACGUGGCUGUUGAGCGCUUUGCAGGUAUUGAUCUUGCAGCGGGAUCUGUCUGGCCGCAGGACCAUGGUUGGAUACAUGGAUUCCAGUAGAAACUCAGUAAGCAGCGGUGACCUGUGCAAAGCGCUGAUAGGAAGGGACCUCUGCUGAGGAAUAAAGCAUUGAGCAAAAAGAAUGUUUGGGCCAGGUGACCGCAGAAGUCUGGCUGUUUUGGGUGGUGGCAGAUGAUGCAAACAGGUGUUCUUGGGACUGCUGAGCUUUUAAGGUGUUUUUACUACUGUGUGUUGGGCUUGUUUGCUUGUUUGAAGGAAGACUGCUACAUGUAGUUUUCACAGAGAACAUCUGUUAUGAUUUAUUGAUGAUUUUAAUCCAAAAUAUCAGAAGGCGUGUUGCAAGAAAGGGCCCUGCCAAUGCCGGAGGGCAGGUGGUGAACCUCGUGAACGAAUGGCUGCAGAUGGGGUUUGCGGAGAAAGAGGUCCUGCAGGUCUUCUGUGACACCCAUGAAGCUGUAGCGAGGCUGCAUCAGUGUAAAACACCAGGAAUCCACAGAGAUCUGAAGGAAUCCAUGUUUUUUUUUAUACUGAACAAGCUCAUUGUGCAGCCUGCGAAUGAAUUCAUUUGCACCUGUUAAUGUUUGGUGUUCUUCUCUCCAUGGAGUUGCAAUUGAAAUGGACACUUCUGGUCUGAUGUCCAGCCCGCUCCCACAUGCUCAGAUCAGCAAAGUUUGCAAGGCCUGGCUCUUGGUUGGUGAGUUGUGCCCAAGGUCAGAGAGUUGACUCUUCUCAACUUGGAGACUUGUUUUCCAGUUGCAUGUUUUAUUAAUUCUGUGGCGUUGACCUCCUGAGCUCCAGCCCUAAGUGGGGAUCCAAGUACUAACACAGAAGGAAUGGUUUAGAUAAAUGUUACCUUUGACUGGAAAUGCAAUGCCCGGGGCUGCACACACUUGUGGCAGUUGUGAGUGUAAGGAAAGGCAUGUGCUGGAUGAGGGCUUUGGUGGGUGAGCAUCACCCUGCUGCAGAGUAGGCAGCCGUUGUCUUUGCAGGCAGCCACAUCCAUGGGGAUUGGAGGCUUUUUCAGCCUUCCAGCUCUUGGCUGUUGCUCUGAGAGUGGAGGUUCUUUCCCCGAGAGAACUACCAGCAGAAGGGAUCCUGCAUGUGGCCUUGGAGCCCUUUCAGGCAAACCAGCUGGAUUAGUUUGUGGCCUGUGACUGUUUUGGAGUUAAGCCAGCAGGUUUUGCCCAAAGCACAAUGACCUGUGGGCACAGUGUCCAACAGGUAGGAAGUGACCAACAGCUGGAGACAAGGGCACCUUGAGCAGCCCUCUUGAGGGGAAUCCUCACUGUGAACAAAGGCCCAGAAGAAGAGGGUAGCUUGUCCCUGUGUUCACGCGGUAAGGCUUUCCUUCCUGACCUGUUACCUCUCAGGUGGUAUGUCAGUCUUGUGAGAGGUAGAUUGAUUGUGUUUUUGCAGUGGAAAUUUCCAGUAUUCUGUAUAUGUAGUAUAGGCUCUCACUGAACUUAUAACCUUCUGGGGGAACAGUUGUUCUGUGUGUAGAGUAGGAUCUCACUGAACUUGUAACCCUCCUGUGUAACCGUUAAAACUGAUGAAUAGGGUGAAGCUGAGGAUGGGAUGUUCCAACUCAGAAGAUAAGGAAGAUAUGCAGGCUAGCCUAGGACAGGACAGUAUGGGGAGAGUCAAGUACCAGAGAGAACGAAUGUACCAACUUUGGAGUAUUGCCUCCCUAUCAAAAUACAAACAAGAAAUAUGCUGACUUUGAAAUAUCUUCUACUCCUAUCAAGGUACAAAGCAGAGCAGAUGUACUGACUCUGAAUUAUUGGAGAUAUUUCAAAGUACAAAGCAUGCCAAAAGACAACAGUCUGGUAAUAGUACCUCUAUAUGGAGAUGUAUCUUGGUAACAGUGUCAAGAAGAUUGUGAGCCUGAGACGCUCGACCAGUGAGCGCCAGGAGAGUGUCCACUUGUGUCAGGACUAGGGUAUAUAAUGUAUGAAUUUUACUGACUAAGCAUGCAAUAUCUCCCUUGCCAAUAGGGGGUGUGCACCCAUUAUUGCAAUAAUGAAUAAACUUUGCUGCUAUCACUAAGAUCUUUGCCUGAGCGGAAAU